rnacentral:piRNA from 1 species
AUGAGGUGCGAAACUGUCUUCAAGCUGAC